ACGCUCGACACCUACGGGAGCAGCAGUGAGGAAUAUUGGUCAAUGGGCGCAGGCCUGAACCAGCCAAGUAGCGUGAAGGAUGACUGCCCUAUGGGUUGUAAACUUCUUUUAUAUGGGAAUAAAGUUUUCCACGUGUGGAAUUUUGUAUGUACCAUAUGAAUAAGGAUCGGCUAACUCCGUCCCAGCAGCCGCGGUAAUCUGAGCGGGCUGGCAAGGC
rnacentral:rRNA from 1 species